rnacentral:rRNA from 1 species
AGCGAACGCUGGCGGCAGGCCUAACACAUGCAAGUCGAACGAACUCUUCGGAGUUAGUGGCGGACGGGUGAGUAACACGUGGGAACGUGCCUUUAGGUUCGGAAUAACUCAGGGAAACUUGUGCUAAUACCGAAUGUGCCCUUCGGGGGAAAGAUUUAUCGCCUUUAGAGCGGCCCGCGUCUGAUUAGCUAGUUGGUGAGGUAAAGGCUCACCAAGGCGACGAUCAGUAGCUGGUCUGAGAGGAUGAUCGGCCACAUUGGGACUGAGACACGGCCCAAACUCCUACGGGAGGCAGCAGUGGGGAAUCUUGCGCAAUGGGCGAAAGCCUGACGCAGCCAUGCCGCGUGAAUGAUGAAGGUCUUAGGAUUGUAAAAUUCUUUCACCGGGGACGAUAAUGACGGUACCCGGAGAAGAAGCCCCGGCUAACUCCGUGCCAGCCGCCGCGGUAAGAC